UGUUCCAUGGUGUAAUGGUGAGCACUCUGGACUCUCAAUCCAGCGAUCCGAGUUCAAAUCUGGGUGGAACCU
rnacentral:tRNA from 1 species